rnacentral:lncRNA from 1 species
UUGAACACUGUAGAAGGUUCCCAUCCUGGCACAGGCAUGGCAGGGGACCUCUAAAGACCUGUCUUCCAGCUUGGAAGAGGAGGAGAGGGGAGCACGCAGCAAACAACCCACAUGUUGAUAUGCAUGAAGUAUCCUGCCACACAGGGAACACCUGCAGCUGGGAGAUGUGGUUGCUGGAAGGUGGAGUGUGUCUUGUAAGCACAUUGGAACAGAGCAAUGAUGAGAAUGGGCAGAGGGAGCCUUGACUGUACAUGAGAUUUUGCAUAUUGACACCAACAGCAAAUGGUUAAAUAUACCC